rnacentral:rRNA from 1 species
UACGUAGGUUGCAAGCGUUAUCCGGAUUUAUUGGGUUUAAAGGGUGCGCAGGUUGUUUGAUAAGUCAGUGGUGAAAGUCUGUCGCUUAACGGUAGGAUUGCCAUUGAUACUGUUGGACUUGAAUAUGGAUGAGGUAGGCGGAAUGUGUAGUGUAGCGGUGAAAUGCAUAGAUAUUACACAGAACACCGAUUGCGAAGGCAGCUUACUAAUCCAUCAUUGACGCUGAGGCACGAAAGCGUGGGGAUCAAACAGGA